rnacentral:lncRNA from 1 species
GCUGUGAUCCCAAUCAAUAUGAGACUCUAGAAAUAAUUUGCGUAACUCAUGAUUUGGUAAAAAAGUUAAGCUUUAGUCAUAAUACAUCUUUUUAGAAUUUAAUGACUUGUGAAUAUCACCAUUCAAUAUUAAAAGUAAUAAUUCAUGACCCCGAAGAUCAUUGACCAAUAAGAAAGAUGACAUACAAUAAGCACUGGUCAUAGGUGGAAUGUCUCUGCACGUGACAAAAUGUUAUAUAAUUUCAACAAUUUAUCGUUAAAUUAAAUGGUACACUCUGACCCUUUAACCAGACUAGAGACAUAAUUUUACAUAACUUUUGACUACUUUCAUGCGACAUAAAUUGUUUACUUAAAUUUUUAACCGUGGAAAAUUAUUUUAAUUCAUACAGCUUAUUUAGAUUAUGCAUAUCAGUUGAUCCCCCCGCAAUAUCUUAAUGUAAAUAUUUUCACAUAUAUGUGUGAAGUUUUAGAUGUAUGCAUGUGUGAAGUUUUAGAUGUAUGUAAAGUAAAUAUGUUUUACGAAACAUUUUUAAAUAUUUUAUUCAUCAUUUG